UAUUAUUAUUAUUAUUAUUAAACUGACAAUUCAUUUAAAGCUUUACAGUGCAUCCAUAAGAAAAAGAGGAAGCCGGUCAGCUUUGCAGACUGGUGCAAGAGGUGUCAAUUAAUCAUUUUAUUCACAUGGUGACACAAUUGAUGUUUCUGAAAUGCAGACACCCAAAAUAAGCCACAUCGUGACCUUCAAAUAAACCAAUAAAAAUAAGCUUAAUCUGAUAUAGUUAUAAUGCACACAUGUAUGCUUAGAUUCAUUUUAGUAUGGUUGCUGUGUUUCAGAGAACAAACACCUCAAAUAGGUGUUACUCUCAAAAGAGACAUAAAGUCGGAUAUAAGGGUCUACACAGGAUGGAAAGUUCUCACCGUUCACACCUCGUACUCUCAGUGAGCUGUUUGAGCACAAAUGUCUGCCCAAAGGUCAACUAAAUAUUUCUGUUGAUGCACAGUUAAGUUUUAAAUAAAACAUUGAAUUUUCCUGAAUGAAAUAGAAGUGCAUUAAUAACAGAGAUAUUAGAAUGUAUAAUGAGACAUAAUUAAUAACACACUUAAUGUAGCAUCCAGUUGAUAUGAAUAUAUACAUUUCUGUACAAACAUUGGAUGUUGGUCAGUUUAACAUAAUCUGAAGGCAUAUAACAAGAUUAUAAAGGUUAUUAAUAGAUCUUCUGUAACACAUGAGGUACAUUUGUGUGUCUUUAAUGUGUUGUGAUGUUUGUAAAGGUCAGACUGCAGGUUGCAGGAAGUCUUGAGUUUUCAAGUGUCUGUCAUUAUUGAGUCAGUAUGGAGCUCAGUCAACUUCCUCUUGUGCUCUUGCUGAUUUCAAACAUUCACUCUGAAAACACUGAAGAAAACCCUAAAGCCAGUGUGAGGAUUACUCCUGAUCUGCAUGUGUUCAGAGGAGAGUCAGUCACUCUCAAAUGUGACAUUAAUGCUGAAGGAGUCUCUAGCUGGCAGUACACCUGGUAUAAAGAAGGUUCAGAUGAUGCAUUUAGUGAUUUACAGGAAUACACAAUAAGGCCUGUUACUCAGUCUGAUGCAGGUAAAUACUCCUGUUCUGGCACUGAGAGUAAAGGUUCACGCAGAUCACAAAUGAGUGAUGCAGUUGCACUGACAGUAUCAGACAGACCCCAGACAGCUUUAAGUGUUUCUCCACAGAACUGGUUGACUGAAGGAGAUUCAGUGACUCUGACCUGUGAGGUUAACGGCUCCUCUACAGGCUGGACAUUCAGCUGGUACAUGCUAACUCAGUCAGGCCAGGACAAUACACCGCUCUCAGACAGCAGUAGAGGAGCUGGAGGAAAAUACACUGUCAGUUCUGUUACUCCAAAACACACAGGAGUUUAUUUGUGUGAAGCAGAGAGAGGAAAACCAGCCUAUAAAACAGACAUGAGCAACAAACAGCCACUGUGGGUCACUGGUGUUUCUCCUCCAGUGUCUCUGGUCAUCAGUCCCAGCAGAGCUCAACACUUUACAUCUGACUCUCUUUCUCUGAGCUGUGAAGACAAGAGUAACUCUACUGGAUGGAGAGUCAGAAGAUACACAGACAGUGGGAGGAUAGAGGAUUGUUCAUCACAAACAGGAUCUACAUGUACAAUCAGCUUCAUUUACACAUUCCAUACUGGAGUUUACUGGUGUCAGUCUGAAUCUGGCAAGAAAUAUAAUCCUGUUAAUAUCACUGUACACUCUGGUGUGAUUCUGGAGAGUCCUGUUCAUCCUGUGACUGAAGGAGAAACUCUGACUCUACACUGCUUAUAUAAAUAUAAAACUCCAGAAAAGCUCAGAACUGAUUUCUAUAAAGAUGGAUCACUCAUCCAGAGUCAAACCUCAGAGAUGAUCAUCACUGCUGUCUCAAAGUCACAUGAGGGUUUCUACCACUGUAAACACCCAGAAGGAGAGUCACCCAAGAGCUGGAUCUCAGUCAGAGCCUCGAGAUCUGAUGGUGUCAGUUCUGUGAUUAAUGGAGUGACUGCAGGACUUUCUGUCAUUGUUUUGGUCUUCAUCUUCUUGGUUCUGCUGUGCUGCUACAGACACAAGAAAGGUGUAAGAUCUCCGUCUCCCUCUAGUGUCAAUCAGACAUCACAGCAGAAGAAGAGUGAAGCGGGACACCAGACACUGCUCUCUGGAACUCCUCUUAAAGACAUAAGCAGCACCGACACUGAAAGUGGAGCUGAACUCACCUAUGCUGAGGUUGAGCUCAAAUCUACAAAGAAAAUGAAGGAAAACACAGAUAAAGGGAACAACACUGAGAAUUCUGGCUGUGUUUACUCUAAACUGAAGCUGGAAACACAUCAGAGUGCUGGAUCUAGUGAUGGGACGUACGCUCAGGAAGGCCAGUGAGGAGACCAUUGCAGUAAUCCACCCUAAUGCUGAUAAAAGCAUGAACAAAAGUCUUCACUGGAAACAAAGCAUCUAAAUCUUGUGUAACCCACCGGUCUUACACCAACCAACCUGCUCCGAGCUGGGAUCGAACAAGGGAUUUACUGCAUGGGGGUCGGUUGCUCUACCAAGGAGGCUAAAGACUAUGGCCUCUAGCAUCUGAGCACCUUUUAGAGGUCAGAGGAGCGAGGUUUACCUGCACACCACUUCACUAGCUGGCCUCUACACUUGCAAUGUUUUUGAGAUGAUAGUAUGCUAUACUUAGUAUGAUUAUAUCUCAAAUUUAGUUACAGUGUUAUUUCAGUGUAUAAAUAUAUUCCCUAUUGUGUUCAGUCCUUCGUCAUACUAAGUGAUGCAUAUAUUCUGAGGAUUUUCAGUGUUAAAUACAAAAAUCUUUUUUGUUCAUUCUGCAUAAUGCAUCUUAGUCCUGUUUAUUUGCCAGUUAUUUUUAGUCAGCAAAGAGUUAGUAAGUGCCAGUGAACUUUGAUUCGCCAAUAAAUGACUCUAAAAGA